UGCAGUGAGUCACACAGGCCAGUGACUGAGAGAAGCCUCCUUGGAACUCUGAGUACUUGCUGGACUGUGUGAAAGGGAGCCUUACCUGGGAAACACGUAGACAUUGAAGAAACAGUGUCAGGUCCAGCUGGGGGAGCCCGGUGGAGGGCGGAAGGGAGCCACUGGGGCGCUCCUGGGAUCUGUGACCAAGGGGAUGAAGCCCGGAGCAGGAGGUGGCCUUGGGAACAAGGAGCGGCAGAGAUGGAGGAGUACGGAGUCUCGGAGAAGAUGGGGUCAGAAGACAUGUGAGAGAUGCCUGCAGUGAGGAGCUGACGCGCUUCCCGCCAUGGGAGCGCUCAACAGUGCCCCGUAGUGUGACUGCAGCAAAAUACUGCAACCAUCUGGUGCAAGUCUAGAAACUGAGCUUUGCUCAGAAGCUCCUUCUGCGACUGCUCUAAGGCGCUCUCCAGCAGUGAUCACGAGAAGAUGAACCAUGGAGAGGUCGCUGGAUUUACUGAGACCAGCUAGGAUUUUGAGCUUUGACUUCAUGCCCUUGAGAAGAACAGGACCUUUCUCCUGGUAUAGCGAGUGCAUCUUCCGUGUGGAGGCUUCUCUUCUGCUCUUAGGAAGGAAAAGGAAAAGGGCGUCUAGGCUGAGGAACGUGAUUUGAUCUUCCUGCGUCUGUUUAUGUGCGUGGUAACUGACAGUAAGCGACACUGAACUUUCAUUUCCUGCUCGCUGAAUCUGGGGCAGACGGCGCUGGAGGAUGACUCAGUGGCUCCCGCAGCAACUGCCUUUGGAGGAAAGGGCUUCCUGAUUGCACCACGGGCUCUUCUUAAAGAUAUUUGUACUUUUCCUGCCCACCCCCAACACUCCUGAGCUUCUCUUUUCGCAUCAAGAUCUCUAACCGCCGUCUCUAACCACUGCCCACAUUUACUUCAACCUGGUUACCCACUGUUUCUUGAGUAUAUCUACCAGUUUCUAUGAAGUUAGAAUCGAUU